CGCGAUUCUCCACGGCGCCGCCGUCAUUUUGCUAAAGUGAGACAGGAAGUGAUGUACAAGCUUCAGAAGUGAUCUACUUGAACUACACACCAUUUACGCACAUUACUACAGAUACGCAUACUGAACAGACAGCGAUCCUGACAAAAGGCUUUGUGAUUUUCGGGGAGGGGCCUACCAGCCACCCAGACCAUGUGGAGAGAGCUGUGCAGGAUGUUCUGCUUGCGCGAGGCAAAGUCGUAGCGGUACAUCUCCAUGGCGAUGGACUCGCCCAGCAGGAUGAUGAGGAACCACAUAGAAUUUCAGUCUCACCUUCGACUUGGGGGCGAUCCAGUAGAUGAGGCAGAGGACUGGCAUGGCCAGGAAGAUCCCGAAGGACACCAGGAGCUUCCAGGCUGUGCGGCUGCCCCUCCAGCUGGUCAGUUUGCCGCACCAAAUGGAGGAGAGCACUUGCUGGCAGAUGGGAUUCCACCGAUUCCACUCAUUUCGUGAGGCGUGGCCUUUGGCGUGCGCUCAAACCAGGCCAGGAUAACGAGCCCCCGCAUCGGUAGGAAACGACCAGAACUCACCAGUGUUUGAACACGACUGUCCUUCCUCUUUUGAGUUUACUACCUACAGCACUACCCACACAGGGCACAUUUCAGGAAAUGACUGUAGUCAGAAUACUAAUGUAACUGAUACUGUGUGUGCGUAUGUUAAUUAACCGUUCUGCUCAUAUUUUUUUUGACAGAAUAUUAACAUGAGGGGUAAAUAAUUGUUAAAAGAUGCAAUAAAAGUGCAGUGUUUUAUGGCUGCUCUAUAUCUUGGCCAGAACUCUCUUUUGGGGAAAGAAAAAAAAAAAAAAAAGAUUUUACCUUGGGGACCUCCUUUAAAAUAAUGACUAAAUGAAAGUCACGAAACAAGGUGAGUUGAGUUAAAAGCCUAAUAAACUGCUUUAUUUGAUAAGUUAAGUGCAGAGGUAUCAACCGAAAUGAGCGAUUGAAAAGCCCUGACUUAAGAUCAGUAAUGUGAAACCAUGCCCUGGAGUGACUACGGUACUUCUAAUUACCAGGUCCAGGUUGAUUGAGGGGAUCCUUAAUUAUUGAGUUGUUGUUGCUGCUGUUUCCAGUGCAGCUGUAUCUCUGGCACUGCAUGUGUGAAACAAGCAGCUUCACACCCGUCUUUGUAUGUUUCCAAGCGGUGUACAAAGUUAAAUGUAGAUUCUAUUGUUUUGCAAACUGCAUCCCCCCCCAUUUUUUUUUUACAACACUACUUAAAAUGAUGUGCGGGAAUUGCUCGUGAUGAUUGCACUCAAGUGUUUUCCAGUGGGAUGCCCUAAUACGCUUAGCAAGAAAACUGCUUAAUGAGGGAUAUCUAAUAAAAUGAAGAGCUUGCACCUACAAAUUUUGUACGGCUUUGUGUUUUGCUUUGCAUUUACUAUUGGCUGCAAGGUGGGAACAUAAAGAACUGUGAAUUUCAGGUGUCAAACAUUAUUUUUUCUAAUAGGGAUCUGAUUGAUGUAGCUUUAUGUGCCAAGAACAAUAUGUAGAACACCAAGACUUUUUGCAUACUUUACACUUUCCAUGAGUACUAACUAUGGAGAAAAGUAUACAACAAGGUUUUGAGAAUGAUUUAUUUCCUGAUAUUUAACGUUCUGGUAUGGCAACAUUCCAUGUGCUGCGCGGCUGAAGAUUUUUAGUUUUGGAAAAGGAAUGAACGAUGCUGGGUCCGAGAGUUAUGAGGAUAUGAAAUUUUGUGUCUCCAAAACCAAUUUUGUAUCCUCAGCUGGGAAAGGCCACGUCUUUGUCGUGUUUGGACUUGCGUUGGACUGACUCUGCCUUCUUGUUGCCAGGCAACCUGAUCAUCAGCUUUGUCGAGGGCAUCAGCUAGACCCUGGAACCGGAGUCAAUUUGGGGACAAUGUGCUGGAGAAUAUUAAAAUGGUAAAAGUCAGGCGAGGAGACUUAAAGUCACAUUUACGGGGCUCCUGGGCUUUAGGGCCAGUUAAAGAACCAGGGAAACCUGAAGAUAAUUGAGGGUGGUGAUACAACGAAGGUGUAGUGGAAACAA